rnacentral:rRNA from 1 species
UACGUAGGGGGCAAGCGUUGUCCGGAAUUAUUGGGCGUAAAGAGCGCGUAGGCGGUCCAGUAAGUCGGUUGUGAAAGUCGGGGGCUCAACCCUCGGAUGCCGAUCGAUACUGCUGGGCUAGAGUCCGGAAGAGGCGAGUGGAAUUCCUGGUGUAGCGGUGAAAUGCGCAGAUAUCAGGAGGAACACCAAUGGCGAAGGCAGGUGGCUGGGCCGACACUGACGCUGAGGCGCGAAAGCCAGGGGAGCGAACGGG